CACAGGCUGCUCUGAACAUGCUGAACAAGUGCCAGUCCCUGGCAUACAAGGAACACGGCAUCCUCUGCAUCGCUCUCCAUCCUGGCUGGGUGCAAACUGACCUGGGCAGCUCUGCUGGAGACACGCCCCCCGUGACGGUGGAUGCCAGCGUGAAAGGGAUGUUGAAGGUGCUCUCCUCCAUCUCUGAGAAGGACACCGGCACCUUCCUGGACUGGGAAGGGAAGGUCGUGCCCUGGUGAAAUGCCAGUUCAGGAUCCUGGCAGCUGUGGGGACCUUUGUUGCUGUUCCCACCCGCCCCACAUCCUCAAUAAAGCUCUGUGAGACCAC